UCGUUGGUUCUAUCUAUAUAAUCAAACUCAUAUUGUCCAAUACCAAAUGGUGUUAAUUCAAGUGAUACAUGUUUGAUUCAUCUUAAGUAAAAUAUCGGAUUUGAAUCUUGUGGAUGUGAAAACUGCUGGAAGAGUUAGCCCCACGUACCUUCCCGGCUCGAACAUCAUUACCCCCAGUGUGAGAAUACAUGUAGGAAGCAAAAAAAAAACUCACCUAGUCAAAUUAAGGCUCCGUUAUUGUUGUUUUUCUAUCACUUGGUAUGGUAGCCAUUCUGCAACUGUCAUUUUUUUUCUUCUGAAAUCUGGGUAAUGAAGUAUAUAGAAAAAUUCAUAUUUUCUGUCCUUGAUUUUGCGAGUCUGAGCCAAAAUUUUCAGAAUAUAGAGAUUUUGAUUUGGACUUGACCACGGUCCUAACUUCAGAAGAAUUAGAUGACAUGAAAUCUGAUGAUUCAGCCAGUGACUAGGUGCUCCUUAUAUCCGUUUCCUCAUGACAAAGCACCGUAUUGCUGAUGAUGCUUAAGUUCUUGUACUCUUACUUUUCC
rnacentral:lncRNA from 1 species